GCACCCGUAGCAUAAUUGGAUAGUGCAUCAGGCUACGAACUUGACGGUUGGGGGUUCAAAUCCCUCCGGGUGCACCA
rnacentral:tRNA from 1 species